UCCAAUGUGGAACCUCCUACACAGCC
rnacentral:piRNA from 1 species